ACCGAAUGCGAGAGCGCCGCGCGCUACACUGACAAAGUCAGCGAGUUUAUAGCUUGGCCGGAAGGUCUGGGUAAUCUUUUUAACCUUCUUCGUGCUGGGGAUAGUCAUUUGCGUUUUUUGACCUUCAACGACGAAUUCCUACAAAGCGUGAGUCAUCAUCUCUUAAGUAUUACCCCCCUGCCCUUUGUACCCACCGCCCCUCCCCACUACCUAUUGAAUGGAUGAUGGAGGCUUGGAUAUUGGAUCUUGGUUGCUGGCAGCAGCAGCUUGGAACUGAAAGUAAUCCAAACUGGGCCAUUAAAAGGAAGUAAAAGUCGUAACAAGGUUUCCGUAGGAGAA
rnacentral:rRNA from 1 species